GAUGAAGAACGUAGCGAAAUGCGAUAAGUAAUGUGAAUUGCAGAAUUCAGUGAAUCAUCGAAUCUUUGAACGCACAUUGCGCCCGCCGGUAUUCCGGCGGGCAUGCCUGUUCGAGCGUCAUUUCAACCAUCAAGCCCUGGGCUUGUGUUGGGGACCUGCGGCUGCCGCAGGCCCUGAAAUGCAGUGGCGGGCUCGCAAGACACACCGAGCGUAGUAGCUUACAACCUCGCUUUGGGAGUGCUGCGGGUGCUGGCCGUAAAGCGACCUUUGCGUCUUUAGCACUAGGUUGACCUCGGAUCAGGUAGGAGGACCCGCUGAACUUAAGCAUAUCAAUAAGCGGAGGA
rnacentral:misc_RNA from 1 species